UACGUAGGGUGCAAGCGUUAAUCGGAAUUACUGGGCGUAAAGCGUGCGCAGGCGGUUCGGAAAGAAAGAUGUGAAAUCCCAGAGCUUAACUUUGGAACUGCAUUUUUAACUACCGGGCUAGAGUGUGUCAGAGGGAGGUGGAAUUCCGCGUGUAGCAGUGAAAUGCGUAGAUAUGCGGAGGAACACCGAUGGCGAAGGCAGCCUCCUGGGAUAACACUGACGCUCAUGCACGAAAGCGUGGGGAGCAAACAGGAUUAGAAACCCUGGUAGU
rnacentral:rRNA from 1 species